ensembl:lincRNA Gm833 predicted gene 833
AAACCAGACUGCAAUGAGCUGUGAGGACCUGAAGACCAGAGUACAUUGUCCCUGUCCUGGGGAUCAGAGUACGUUGUCCCUGUCCUGGGGCCUGGGUGUGCUUUACAGCGUGCUGGGAACAGGAUGCUCGGCUUAUUACUCCCUUAUCUCCCGGCCAGGACUGCAUUAAUCAUCUUAGACCUCACUGGGCAUCAGCUCACUCUGAUUUCUGCCACUGCAGGAGCUGCACGCAGAGGCAUGGGUGCUGGGGCGUGGACGCUCAGCCAUCUCUGCACUCCAGUCUCCGGCAUACCACACCCCGACUCUGUUCUGCACCCAGAGUGGAAGCCUGCUGGAGUCCUGCGUGCUGCGCCAGCUUUGACUUUCAGCUGGAGGAGGAUGCAGUGUGGCGGCCGCCCCAGACUGGCCACGGUCUCUGAUGGGAAAGGUGACCCUGAGGUGUCCCUGUCACCAAGUCUUUCUCCAAGCUGAGUUGGCGGCUGGAUUAAUGGAAGAAGACCCCAGUGAUGUGCCUAUGGAUCUGUCUUCAGUUCCCUCUCAGAGGACACAUUUCCUUUAGUGGCUUGCACAUUGACAUAGGCUCAAUUUAAAAAAGAUUUAUUUAUUUUUCAUUUAUGUGUAUGGGUGUUUUGCCUUCAUGGAUAUCUGUGAACCAUGUGUGCAGUUCCCACAGAGGCCAGGAGAGGGCAGCAGAUCCCCUGGAACUGGAGUUGGCAGAUGGUUCUGAGUUACCAUGUGGCGCUGGGAAGGAGUCUGCAUCCUCUGGGAGAGUGGCCACAAUGCUCUGAACCUCUGCCCAGCCCCAGAUGUGAGCCUGGUCACACCAACCCCAGCACCGUCCCUUAGAGUCAGAUCUCCGUGCUCCCACUUUAAACAGUCGUCUGU